UACGUGAGGGCGCAAGCGUUGUCCGGAAUUAUUGGGCGUAAAGAGCUCGUAGGCGGUUUGUCGCGUCUGCUGUGAAAACCUAAGGCUCAACCUUGGGCUUGCAGUGGGUACGGGCAGACUAGAGUGCGGUAGGGGUGACUGGAAUUCCUGGUGUAGCGGUGGAAUGCGCAGAUAUCAGGAGGAACACCGAUGGCGAAGGCAGGUCACUGGGCCGCAAACUGAC
rnacentral:rRNA from 1 species